rnacentral:rRNA from 1 species
CCUGGCUCAGAUUGAACGCUGGCGGCGUGCCUAACACAUGCAAGUCGAGCGGUAACAGGUGUAGCAAUACAUGCUGACGAGCGGCGGACGGGUGAGUAACGCUUGGGAAUCUGCCUGAUAGUGGGGGACAACCCGGGGAAACUCGGGCUAAUACCGCAUACGCACUACGGUGGAAAGCCGGGGACCGCAAGGCCUGGCGCUAACAGAUGAGCCCAAGUCGGAUUAGCUAGUUGGUAGGGUAACGGCCUACCAAGGCGACGAUCCGUGACUGGUCUGAGAGGACGACCAGUCACACCGGAACUGAGACACGGUCCGGACUCCUACGGGAGGCAGCAGUGGGGAAUAUUGGACAAUGGGCGAAAGCCUGAUCCAGCGACGCCGCGUGGGUGAAGAAGGCCUGCGGGUUGUAAAGCCCUUUCGGUGGGGAAGAAAAGCCUCGAGUUAACACCUCGGGGUCUUGACGUAACCCAUAGAAGAAGCACCGGCUAACUCUGUGCUAGCAGCCGCGGUAAUACAGAGGGUGCGAGCGUUAAUCGGAAUUACUGGGCGUAAAGCGCGCGUAGGCGGCUUUGCAAGUCGGGUGUGAAAUCCCCUGGCUUAACCUGGGAACUGCAUUCGAGACUG